rnacentral:rRNA from 1 species
AGUGAACGCUGCGGUAGGCCUAACACCUGCAAGUCGAACGGCAGCACAGUAAGAGCUUGCUCUUACGGGUGGCGAGUGGCGGACGGGUGAGGAAUACAUCGGAAUCUACUUUUUCGUGGGGGAUAACGUAGGGAAACUUACGCUAAUACCGCAUACGACCUACGGGCGAAAGCAGGGGAUCUUCGGACCUUGCGCGAUUGAAUGAGCCGAUGUCGGAUUAGCUAGUUGGCGGGGUAAAGGCCCACCAAGGCGACGAUCCGUAGCUGGUCUGAGAGGAUGAUCAGCCACACUGGAACUGAGACACGGUCCAGACUCCUACGGGAGGCAGCAGUGGGGAAUAUUGGACAAUGGGCGCAAGCCUGAUCCAGCCAUACCGCGUGGGUGAAGAAGGCCUUCGGGUUGUAAAGCCCUUUUGUUGGGAAAGAAAAGCAGCAGGUUAAUACCCCGCUGUUCUGACGGUACCCAAAGAAUAAGCACCGGCUAACUUCGUG